rnacentral:rRNA from 1 species
CCUACGGGAGGCAGCAGUAGGGAAUCUUUCACAAUGGGCGAAAGCCUGAUGGAGCAACGCCGCGUGCAGGAUGAAGGCCUUCGGGUUGUAAACUGCUUUUAUAAGCGAGAAAUAUGAUGGUAACUUAUGAAUAAGCAUCGGCUAACUACGUGCCAGCAGCCGCGGUCAUACGUAGGAUCCGAGCAUUAUCCGGAAUGACUGGGCGUAAAGAGUUGCGUAGGUGGCAUAAUAAGUAGCGAGUGAAAACUGGUGGCUCAACCAUUCAGACUAUUAGCUAAACUGUUAAGCUCGAGACCGUUAGAGGUAACUGGAAUUUCUAGUGUAGGAGUGAAAUCCGUAGAUAUUAGAAGGAACACCAAUAGCGUAGGCAGGUUGCUGGGACGGUUCUGACACUAAGGCACGAAAGCGUAGGGAGCAAACGGGAUUAGAUACCCGAGUAGUC